UCGGUGGGGUUGAAAUUCUCAGACCGCUGUGGGAUCAACUGCGGCAAAGGCGUUCCACUGGAGCAUGUUCGUCGAUCAAGAACGAGAGUGUUGCGGGCGAGGAUGACAGCAUACCAUCGUAGUCUACAGCUGUAAAGGAAGCCCCG
rnacentral:rRNA from 16 species